rnacentral:lncRNA from 1 species
UGUGUGUGCCAGAACCUGUUAUUUGAUUUUAAGAAGACGUAUUUUUUUAUAUAUUGUAAAUAGUUCUUUAUUUCAUAUUGUUAUAUCUUUGCAUUUUAAAAGUAUCUUAUAAUUCUGUAUAUAAUGGCUCUCAUUUAUAUGUUCCUAAUUUCGUUGCUAUACUCCCGUCCCCUUUUCAUGCAUGCAUGUGACCUAUAUAUACCGAAUAAGACUUGUUACCGGGUUUGUUCUAUCAUGAAAAACACGACGGAUGCCACAUUUGGAGCAGGAUCUGCUUACCUUUCUGGAUCACCUAAGAUCACCACAAGUUUUUGGUGGUGUUCGUGCUGCUUAGUCUUUAGUUUUCUAUGUUGAUCUAUGUUGUGUUUUGUGAACUAUUGUUUGCCUGUUGUCUUUUUUCCUUUUUAACCAUGGGGUUGUCAUUUUAUUUUCGACUUAUCAGUUUGGUAUCUUUCACCCCUCUUUUAAUUAGUAUUGUUUUACAAUGUAUAAAUAUCGAUUGUACUUGUUGAAAGACGAGACUUUAAUAAAAUAUUGAAUUGAAUUGUAUCGACAAC